AGCACAGGACCCUGUCCCUGAGCAGGGGAUCUACACCUCAGAGAGGAAGGCAGGCUCACAGGUACACGGGACAGCAGACUGUGCCCUUCCAGGUGACUUGAGCACAGCUUGUGAGUCUUACAGGAGUGGGAACAGCCAGGGCUUGCCUGACCUGAUGCACCCUUCUAAACAAAGCUGGACUCUGCUCUCAGCCAGAGGUGGACCAGGUGACCCAGCAGCUCCUGGCCCUCUUAGGUGUGGAGACCAGACGACCCAGCAGCUCCUGCCCCUCUUAGGUGUGAAGACCAGGUGACCCAGCAGCUCCUGACCCUUCAGGUGUGGAGACCAUGUGACCCAUCAGCUACUGACCCUCCAGGUGUGGAGACCAUGUGACCCAGCAGCUCCUGACCCUCCAGGUGUGGAGACCAGGUGACCCAGCAGCUCCUGGACCUCCCAGGUGUGAAGACCAGGUGACCCAGCAGCUCCUGGACCUCCCAGGUGUGGAGACCAGGUGACCCAGCAGCUCCUGACCCUCCAGGUGUGGAGACCAGGUGACCCAGCAGCUCCGACCCUCCAGGUGUGGAGACCAGGUGACCCAGCAGCUCCUGGACCUCCAGGUGUGGAGACCAGGUGACCUAGCAGCUCCUGACCCUCCAGGUGUGGAGACCAUGUGACCCAGCAGCUCCUGACCCUCCAGGUGUGGAGACCAUGUGACCCAGCAGCUCCUGGACCUCCAGGUGUGGAGACCAUGUGACCCAGCAGCUCCUGACCCUCCAGGUGUGGAGACCAUGUGACCCAGCAGUUACUGGCCCUCCCAGGUGUGGAGACCAUGUGACCCAGCAGUUCCUGGCCCUCCCAGGUGUGGAGACCAGGUGACCCAGCAGUUCCUGACCCUCCCAGGUGUGGAGACCAGGUGACCCAGCAGCUCCUGACCCUCCAGGUGUGGAGACCAGGUGACCCAGCAGCUCCUGACCCUCCAGGUGUGAAGACCAGGUGACCUAGCAGCUCCUGACCCUCCAGGUGUGGAGACCAGGUGACCCAGCAGUUACUGGCCCUCCCCAGUGUGGAGACCAGGGUGACAAAGUGACUUGUAACCCUGCCAGCUGUGGAGAUGGUGGUGACCCUACAGCUCCUAGUUUUUCCAGGAGCCAAGGAGCAGAAACCCACGGUGAACUCCUACCAGACUGAGAAUGAGACAAGGAUUUCUACAUAAAAAGACAAAGGCACUGUACCCACGGCUGCCCAUUCUUCAUGGAAAGGGACGACUCCUCAGUCUUGGGGCAUGGUUCUGGAAGGCUCUGUGCCAUGGGUCACUCUGCUAUGCUUUUCUGCUGUCCACUCGGGAGUGCUAGCUGCGACCCUCAGAGGGCUGAGCUGAGUGGCCUGUAGCUCAGCAGGAAGGACAGCAAGCCCAGCUCCUGAGCCAGGCUAGUGCUGAAGGCCAGGAGGCAGCUGUGAAGCUCCUGCAGACUCCUGCGUCCAGGUGGGGGUAGGGGCAGUGUGAGCAUGGCUGUGUGUCCGGUCCUGCCUGGAUGGGGGUCCUGAGUCGGGGAAGGCCCCAGGAGUGCACUCCCACCUAAGUGGCCCCACGGAGUUUUCCCAGGAGGGACACUGGGCUGCAGCAGGAAAUGCCCCCUGCCUCUGCCGCGCAAGCCUUGCCUUAGGACAGACCUCCACUGCUCAGGUCCUCCUGGAGGCCGUUCAGACCUCCCGUGAGCAGUAGAACCCCCAAGGCUGAUGCUUGGAGGAGAGGGAGGCGCUUCCCCUAGGGGCAGAGCUUGCUGGAGGCUGAUAAGGUGGCAGCAGUGUCCAGGAGGAAGAAGGCACUGCGGGGCCCAUCCCUGUAGUCAGGCCCCCAGAGAAGACGGCUGGGCAUCCCUCCCCAGGGCCUGCGUGGAUGACCCAGCCUCUAGAAGGGACUGGAGACACCCAGUGGUGAGUUACAUGCUGCAAACCACGAGCUGCCUGCGGGAGGACACCCAGACCCAGGGCUUCCCGGGGGCCACGUGGAGAGCUGCUCCUGUUAGUGAGGGCAGCUGGCUGGCCUCAUGGCCAUCUCCUGGGGAGCUUGGCCAGGGACCCCAGCCUCCUUGCCUCCUAGCUGAGCUCCAUCAGGAGCUGAUGCUGCCCACCUCUCACCAUAUUGGGAAGUUCACGGUCCACUCGGCGCUGAGGGUCUCCCAGAGAGGCAUGAGCAUCCUGAAGUGGUCCAUCUCUGCUGCGCUCCGCCCCUCUGUCUACAGUGCUGGGGUGGGAACAGCCUCAUGCACCUGGGCAAGCUCCGACCGAGAAGGCACCCAGCCCUGCUAGGAUCGCUUAAGCCAUUUAAAUCUUUAUAACUUCUUGAAGUUUCUUGAAGUUUGUUUUCAAAUGCUGGCCCUUUAAAAAUAUUUUUUUAUCAGAAUGCUGAAAAUAGCCAUUUUACUUAAAUUUACCAAAAAAAUAAAUUAAAUUAAAAGGUCUUAAAAUCUUGCAGCAGGUCAGGGACUGACCAGGGAGCCCACAUUCCAGCAGAUGGUUUUCAUGUCGUGUAGAAAGAGCCAAAGUUUAAAGAGUUCACUUGAAACAGGGCUUCAGUUUGACUGAGGUCAGCUGAGCCAGCCCAGCGGGCAAACGCCAAAAGGACCUGGGGGCUAGUUUGGCUAUGGGUGCCCAGCAGUCAGGGCUCUGCAGGGGCCAGGUCCAGAACUGCUGCAGGAUGCUGGUCAGCAAGGACUCAGUCAAGAGUAGCAUCCAAGUGUGUGGGGACCAGCCUCCCCAUCUGGCACACGGCACUGAGGACCUUUGCAGGUGAGUUUGUAAAGGAGCUUUCAGUGUGACAGUGACGAGGACUCUGUGCUCCGUCCAGCUGCAGGGGGCUCCUGCACCUCCCCACCUGAAUGUCCAGCCAGAUCUCUCAUUAGCCUCCACCCCCAAAGCAGUCCACCACUCUGGCUGUCUGCAGCCUGAGCCUGCUGGGCUGCUCAGCGGGACCCACCUCCCCCAGGCUGCCUCUGGUGACCCCCACUGGCCCCAUGCCGCCUGCCUGGAAAGGCUCCUGUCUCCCCUGCAGGACGCUGCAGUGUCCUUGCCUGUGGCCCUGUCUGCAUAAAGGCUCCUCACCCUGCAGGGUGCAGCACUCCUCAGCUGCCCAGUCCAGAGGUGGGUGUGCAGCAGGAGCCUCAGAAAUGCGCCACAGCUGGGCGUAAACGCUGGAGUAAACAGUGACCCAAGUGGUUCUGUGAGGAAAGAGGAGACCCUUUGUCUUCAUUUUCAAGUUGUGUUUAUUGCUGACUUUGAUUUUCAGUGUGCAUC